CAGCCAACUUCGCAUCAACAGCAAGUCAGCAACCCAAUGCCGUUUAACAAAAUUCUCACAGGAAGAUCUUGUUGGUAAAAGUAUUGACCGUGGGGAUUUUUCAGAGAUUAUAUGUAGUCAAAGAAAAUUAAACAUAGUAUAAAAUAACCCUAGGGGGCGGGCCAAGCCAAACGUAUGCUUUUUUAAAAUCUUGAUUUUUAUCUUUUCGGGAGAUUGGGUCAGCUGCCAAUUUAAAGGCAAUAUUGCUAAAAUUCUGUUGCUGUCAGAUGAUUGUUUGAAUAUAUCGAUACAAGAUUUUGUUGCACGUUCAUGAAAAAGAAUUCAGAAAUGGGAUCUACGUCUCGAGCAAGCACUAGCAGCAAUGCUGGAAGUGGGUCCAACCAAACUGUUGCUGCUCGAGAAGCUUUCCAGGUUCUUCUGGAGUUGUCAAAGCUCCUUAAUACAGGAUUGGAUGCUGAAA